GAGUUUGAUCGUGGCUCAGAUUGAACGCUGGCGGCAUGCCUUACACAUGCAAGUCGAACGGCAGCAUGAUCUAGCUUGCUAGAUUGAUGGCGAGUGGCGAACGGGUGAGUAAUACAUCGGAACGUGCCCUGUAGUGGGGGAUAACUAGUCGAAAGAUUAGCUAAUACCGCAUACGACCUGAGGGUGGAAGUGGGGGACCGCAAGGCCUCAUGCUAUAGGAGCGGCCGAUGUCUGAUUAGCUAGUUGGUGGGGUAAAGGCCCACCAAGGCGACGAUCAGUAGCUGGUCUGAGAGGACGAUCAGCCACACUGGGACUGAGACACGGCCCAGACUCCUACGGGAGGCAGCAGUGGGGAAUUUUGGACAAUGGGCGAAAGCCUGAUCCAGCAAUGCCGCGUGUGUGAAGAAGGCCUCGGUGUAAG
rnacentral:rRNA from 1 species